CAUUUCUCAAAACCCUAAAAAAUCUCUCUUCCCUUCUCUCAACCACCACACCAUGGCCGCGCCUCUCUCUCUUCUCCCUCUCCCUCUGUGCUCACCCCUCUCUCUCUCUUUUCACUCUAUCCGGUGAGGCGAUGGCACUGAUCUGGCCGUGUGUAUUGUUAGUGGUGGCGGCAAUGGCACUAGUUUUGAGAUAGCGGCGAAGAAGAUGACGUGGAGGUGGAGAGAUUAGAGUUUUAUUGGUGGUGGAAAGAUUAGAGGUUUUUUGGUGGUGGUGGUGUCUCCGAUUUGGGAUUUUGGUGGUGGUGGAGAGAUUACGGUUUUUAGUGGUAGUAGUGUCUCAGAUCUGGCUGUGUGUAUUUGUUAAAAGCCAAAUACAAAUACAUUCAAAAAUCUACAUCUCACAAAUACACUAUGUUUGAAUGUAUUUGUCUUUGUAUU